AUUUCCAAUUUACAGAUGAGAAAUUCUACACUGAAACAUUAAAUCACUGACUCCAAGUCAUACAAGUGGUCAGAUCCCCACCUGGUAGUUGAACCUUCCGGACUUCUUGUUGCCUCUUGUUGGCACCCUUAACCUCUCUGACUUGUGAGUAAUAAAUUUAUUCUGUCUCG